rnacentral:lncRNA from 1 species
CAGCAAUCAAGGGGAGAAGAGACAGUUUCAUGAGCCAGGUUGCAGUCUGGAAUCUGGAUAUUGCAACACUUAGUGAGACAAUGAACAACUUCUACAGGAUUGACCAGCUCAAAGUGCAAAACUCACAGUAACUCUGCUGUUCUGACCCCUGCCAGACUGGAAAGGUACCAGUUGAACAAAAGCAUAAUUGAAAAUUUUUGUUCUCCACUCACAAGAGGCAGUUAGCAAACUUUUCUCUCUCAGGUGAGUACAUCU